UACAGAGGUCUCAAGCGUUGUUCGGAUUCAUUGGGCGUAAAGCGUGCGUAGACGGCUAUCUAAGUCGGGUGUGAAAGCCCCGGGCUCAACCUGGGAAUUGCAUUCGAGACUGAAUAGCUAGGGUACGGUAGAGGGAAGCGGAAUUUCCGGUGUAGCGGUGAAAUGCGUAGAUAUCGGAAGGAACAUCAGUGGCGAAAGCGGCUUCCUGGACCAGUACCGACGUCAGGCACGAAAGCGUGGGGAGCAAACAGG
rnacentral:rRNA from 1 species